GACGAACGCUGGCGGCGUGCUUAACACAUGCAAGUCGAACGGAAAGGCCCUGCUUUUGUGGGGUGCUCGAGUGGCGAACGGGUGAGUAACACGUGAGUAACCUGCCCUUGACUUUGGGAUAACUUCAGGAAACUGGGGCUAAUACCGGAUAGGAGCUCCUGCUGCAUGGUGGGGGUUGGAAAGUUUCGGCGGUUGGGGAUGGACUCGCGGCUUAUCAGCUUGUUGGUGGGGUAGUGGCUUACCAAGGCUUUGACGGGUAGCCGGCCUGAGAGGGUGACCGGCCAAAUUGGGACUGGGAUUACGGCCAGACUCCUACGGGAGGCAGCAGUGGGGAAUAUUGCACAAUGGGCGGAAGCCUGAUGCAGCAACGCCGCGUGCGGGAUGACGGCCUUCGGGUUGUAAACCGCUUUCGCCUGUGACGAAGCGUGAGUGACGGUAAUGGGUAAAGAAGCACCGGCUAACUACGUG
rnacentral:rRNA from 1 species